AGAGAGAGAGAGAAAUAGUGAAUUCCUACUGCUGAAAUUUCAGAGUGAGAUAUGUGGUUGCAACCGGACUUACUAGGUAGUCUAACUAGCCUUUGCUCUUGCUCAUUUCUCAGUUUUGUGUUGCUUUAUUUUCAGGGGAAUUCUAUCCCUGUAGGAAAAGCAAGAACUAGGUAGCUGUCCUAGACGGUAUGCAGGUUCCCAGUAACAUCAGCCACAGAGAUGAACGCUCCAGAGGUAACAUGCUCUACAGAAUCAUAGCUUCAGUUUGUAGGGUGAGAGAGACUCAUCCCCACUUUUGUGCCUGGCAGAGUAGAAGGCAUGGAGGGAUGUUGCCACGAUGGAAGCAGCUAUUGUUUGCCAUUCUAAAGAUGCUUCUUUUACUUAAGAGAAAACAUGAAAGGAUGAAGAGGACAAGCAGGUGAUGAGGACAGUGGGGUUCCUCAAACUUAGCAAUAACUAUUUUAAGCAUGAUGGAAUAAACAUUAACAUUAAUAAGCAGUAACUAUCAGAUUGAAUUUAAAUAGUAAGAUGCAGCUGUUUGGUUUUUAUAGGACUAAUAAAAUGAU